CAGAACGAAAUACUUCCUGGUCCUGUGCCAUCCCCAUGAUUGGUUGUAGAUCAGGCCAUGGUGAUUCAUAGGGUUUUCAUUGGCUGAUUUUUCAGAAGUAGAUUGCCAGGGCUUUCUAGUUUGUCUUACUCUGGAAGCUCCAUUAAAACCCGUUCAGCAUCAUAGUGACGUGCAAACCACCACUGACAGAUGGGCUGGGAGGUGAACUCAGGUCUCAUGCAUGGAAGUCCAGCUUCUCGGAUUAUUUGCUCAUCAUACAGAUUGAGCAGGUACGGUGAAAGGAUACAACCCUGACGCACAUCUUCCCUGACUUUAAACCACGCUGUAUCCCAAGUGUUCCCAGGUGGUGCAGUGGCUAAACAAUCAGCUGCUAACUGAAAGGUCAGCGGUUUGAACCCACCAGCCGCUCUGAGGAGAAAGGUGUGGCAGUCUGCUUCUGUUAAGAUUACAGCCUUGAGAACCCUAUGAGGCAGUUCUACUCUGUCCUAUAGGGUCACUAUGAGUCAAAAUCAACUCAGUGGCACAGAACAACAACACAACAAUUUAGUGCUCCUAAAUCUUAAUAACUUCCUAAACCCAAUAAAGGACAUCUGUAAAAACCUUCAGCUCCUUUCAGACGGGGACUGUGUCUUCUGUGUCUUCUUCAUGCUUGCAUAUAUGAUAUUUAUUUUGGUACAUGAGAUGAAAGGGAAGCAAGAAGAGAGUAGGGGACCUCAUACCACCAAGGAAGCAGCACCAGGAGCUGAGUGUGUCCUUUGGACCUGGGGUCCCUGCACCUGAGAAGCUUCUCAACCAUAGGAAGAUUGAGGACAAGGACCCUUCCUUCAGAGCUGACAGAGACAGAAAGCCUUCCCCUGGAGCCGAUGCCCUGAAUUUGGACUUUUAGCUUACUUUACUAUGAGAAAAUAAAUCUCUUUGUUAAAGCCAUCCAUGUGUGGUAUUUCUGUUAUAGCAGCACUAGAUGACUAAGACAACAGGAAAUGUGAAAGUAUUUAAGAAACAGAUCUGAGAAAUGGUAGUAUAUUUUAUUGGAUAGAUUGUUGAUGAAAGUAGCAAUCAAUAGGACCAACACUGAGAAUAGGUCGGGCAAAGUGAACUCCUCUUCAUUUGAUCAUAGAUUUCCUAGUUUGAAUGAUCACAAUAAAAUAAGAGGCAAGAAGAAGUGUAUUCUUGUUGUUUCUGAAAUUCCCUGGUUGUUAUCACUGGACAAAAAUCCAUAUGGAAAAAGUAACAAACAACUUCAAAUUAAAACUAAGUUGAGUAACCAGUAAGGACCAAGAAGAGGAAUAUCUAGAAGAGAAAUCCCUUCCAUCUACAAGGAGAGUUAUCAGCUCUCAAGCCAAAGUCUACCAAGGCUUCACCUCCCAUAAUUCCAGCAGAUAUCCUCCAUUCUAUUAUAAUUGUAUUUUCUACAUUUUAUAACAUACUUAUUCAGUGUGUUCCUUUAACACAUCCUAUAUUCUUCCAUAAUACUACUAGGGGAGCGAAGAAGCAUAUUUCCUAGAGACGUGAGAAUUUCCUAAGGGGUUUUGGAUUUCUGCUCUUUCAGGUCUUUGGUGGUAUGCCCCAAUAUCUGAGCCUAGUGGCUUAUUUAGGCACAGUUUCUGGUGUUGUGUGGCUGGUUCCUCCUUUGGCUUUCUUAUCAGUUAGAUAUCUGUGCAGUUCAUCUUUUUCUUCUUUCCCAUGGAAGGAGCUAUAAAUGGCACAAAUGAACCCUCCACAAUCCUUAUUAUUGUAUUACAUUGGAU